CCUUGGUUCUCUUAAAUUGAUCAUCAACUAAUUGAAUAAUUUGGAGGAGAUUUCAAAAGUAUUUUGGUUAAAGCUCCUGCUGUUGUAGAAAACAAGGUAGAACUCCCACCACAUCUUGCAGUGAUUCCUGGUCAUCAACCCAGUUAGAAGGAUACAUGCAACAGUGAGAUAGGAGACAAGAGCCCUUCAAAGGGGUAAGAAGAAGCCCCCAGCAUAAGCUGCUCAAGGACAUGUGUCCCUCCCCAGUUAGACUCAAGGCAAGCAAGAGGCAUUAUCGGAGCUCCUGGACACGUUCUAGCCAGCAAAAACAUAAGAGGAACCCUGCUGGAUCAGGCCAGUGGCUCAUCUACUCUAGGCUCAUGGUGGCCAACCAGAUGCCUAUGGGAAGCCUGCAAGCAGGACCUGUGUGCAUUCAAGGAGGUUGCAAAACAGGGUCAAUGAGGGAAGUGGCCUGGGGAGAAGGGAUGUGGCCCACUGGCAAAAUGACCACAAGGUGUCAGGGAUGUCAGGAUCCUAUUCCCCACCCCAUUCUAUCCUAA